AAAAGUCGUAACAAGGUCUCCGUUGGUGAACCAGCGGAGGGAUCAUUACCGAGUUUACAACUCCCAAACCCCUGUGAACAUACCACUUGUUGCCUCGGCGGAUCAGCCCGCUCCCGGUAAAACGGGACGGCCCGCCAGAGGACCCCUAAACUCUGUUUCUAUAUGUAACUUCUGAGUAAAACCAUAAAUAAAUCAAAACUUUCAACAACGGAUCUCUUGGUUCUGGCAUCGAUGAAGAACGCAGCAAAAUGCGAUAAGUAAUGUGAAUUGCAGAAUUCAGUGAAUCAUCGAAUCUUUGAACGCACAUUGCGCCCGCCAGUAUUCUGGCGGGCAUGCCUGUUCGAGCGUCAUUUCAACCCUCAAGCACAGCUUGGUGUUGGGACUCGCGUUAAUUCGCGUUCCUCAAAUUGAUUGGCGGUCACGUCGAGCUUCCAUAGCGUAGUAGUAAAACCCUCGUUACUGGUAAUCGUCGCGGCCACGCCGUUAAACCCCAACUUCUGAAUGUUGACCUCGGAUCAGGUAGGAAUACCCGCUGAACUUAAG
rnacentral:rRNA from 1 species